rnacentral:rRNA from 1 species
CAGUCGCCACGGUAAUACAGAGGGUGCGAGCGUUAAUCGGAUUUACUGGGCGUAAAGCGUGCGUAGGCGGCUUCUUAAGUCGGAUGUGAAAUCCCUGAGCUUAACUUAGGAAUUGCAUUCGAUACUGGGAAGCUAGAGUAUGGGAGAGGAUGGUAGAAUUCCAGGUGUAGCGGUGAAAUGCGUAGAGAUCUGGAGGAAUACCGAUGGCGAAGGCAGCCAUCUGGCCUAAUACUGACGCUGAGGUACGAAAGCAUGGGGAGCAAACAGGAUUAGAUACCCGGGUAGCCCCUGUCUCUUAUAA